AUUGAACGCUGGCGGCAUGCCUUACACAUGCAAGUCGAACGGUAACGGGCCUUCGGGUGCCGACGAGUGGCGAACGGGUGAGUAAUGUAUCGGAAUGUACCUUUCAGUGGGGGAUAACGUAGCGAAAGUUACGCUAAUACCGCAUAUUCUGUGAGCAGGAAAGCAGGGGAGCGCAAGACCUUGCGAUUAUUGAGCGGCAGAUAUCAGAUUAGCUAGUUGGUGAGGUAAAGGCUCACCAAGGCGACGAUCUGUAGCGGGUCUGAGAGGAUGAUCCGCCACACUGGAACUGAGACACGGUCCAGACUCCUACGGGAGGCAGCAGUGGGGAAUUUUGGACAAUGGGGGCAACACUGAUCCAGCCAUGCCGCGUGAGUGAAGAAGGCCUUCGGGUUGUAAAGCUCUUUCGGCCGGGAAGAAAUCGUAUCAGCUAAUACCUGGUGCGGAUGACGGUACCGGCAUAAGAAGCACCGGCUAACUACGUGCCAGCCGCCGCAGUAACAC
rnacentral:rRNA from 1 species